rnacentral:tRNA from 1 species
AGCAGUGUGGUUCAGUGGAAAGAAUACAGAUCUGGGAGUCAGAGUACCUGGGUUCUAAUCCUGGCUCUGUUA